AGAGAGAGACAUGCGCGCAUAUCAAUAAGCGGAGGAAAAGAAACUAACAAGGAUUCCCUUAGUAACGGCGAGUGAAGCGGGAAGAGCUCAAAUUUGAAAUCUUCAAGGUUCUACCUUGACGAAUUGUAGUUUAUAGAAGUGUUUUCUGUUAGUGGAGUGGCAAAAGUUCUCUGGAAUAGGACAUCAUAGAGGGUGAGAAUCCCGUAUUUGGUCAUUCCUUCCUAGCGUUGUGAUACACUUUCAACGAGUCGGAUUGUUUGGGAAUGCAGUCCAAAAUGGGUGGUAAAUUUCAUCUAAAGCUAAAUAUUGGCGAGAGACCGAUAGCGAGCAAGUACCGUGAGGGAAAGAUGAAAAGAACUUUGAAAAGAGAGUUAAACAGUACGUGAAAUUGUCAAAAGGGAAGCGUUUGACACCAGUGUUGUUUUUCCGAAAAUCAAUUACGAAUGUUUUAUUGUUGAGGAGUUAUGACUUCAUCGGCUUGCUCCUUUCUUUAUGAAACUUUCUUAAUGCACUUUUCGGUUAACAAGUCAACAUCAAUUUCUUUUGUUGUAAAAGGGUAUGAGGAAGGUGGCUUUCUUUUCGGAGGAAGUGUUUAUAGCCUUGUGCCUCUGCAAUCGGAGAGAUUGAGGUCUGCAGCGUAGAUCCUUCGGGGUUAGAUACGUUUGUGCUAAGUUAUAGCUUUUCAUAGACAACUUGUUGACUAUGUUUAGUCUUGUAGCUUACUCGCUUAUGCUAUUUUACCUACGCUUAGGAUGUUGAUAGUCACAGCGUGUAC
rnacentral:rRNA from 1 species